UUAUCAGGUGGGAUAAUCCUUACCUGUUCCUGGUUUUGGAGGGUAGAUAGAACAUAAGUGGAGUUUGCAUGAUCCAUGAUUAAUGUCUCUGUGUAAUCAGGACUUGCAAACCCUGAUUGUUUGUGUCUGAU
ensembl:snoRNA U8 U8 small nucleolar RNA